AUCUCUAUUGAAGCAAGAAGACCCCCUGAAUUUAAGCAUAUAAUUAAGGGGAGGAAAAGAAACCAACUCGGAUUCCCCUAGUAAUGGCGAGUGAAGCGGGAAGAGCUCAUGUUGUAAAUCUCCAGCUUGCUGGCGAAUUGUAGUCUAAAGGUGCGUGCUCAGUCGUGGUCCCGGGCUAAGUCUGUUGGAAAACAGCAUCAUGGACGGUGACAAUCCGGUUCUUGCCUGGGGUCCCGCGGCGUACGAGCCGUUUCCGACGAGUCGUGUUGCUUGGGAUUGCAGCACUAAGUGGGUGGUAAAUUCCAUCUAAAGCUAAAUAUUGGUGGGA
rnacentral:rRNA from 1 species